AUUGAACGCUGGCGGCAUGCCUUACACAUGCAAGUCGAACGGCAGCACGGGGGCAACCCUGGUGGCGAGUGGCGAACGGGUGAGUAAUGCAUCGGAACGUGCCCAGUAGUGGGGGAUAGCCCGGCGAAAGCCGGAUUAAUACCGCAUACGUACUGAGGUAGAAAGCGGGGGACCGAAAGGCCUCGCGCUAUUGGAGCGGCCGAUGUCGGAUUAGCUUGUUGGUGGGGUAAUGGCCUACCAAGGCGACGAUCCGUAACUGGUCUGAGAGGACGACCAGUCACACUGGGACUGAGACACGGCCCAGACUCCUACGGGAGGCAGCAGUGGGGAAUUUUGGACAAUGGGCGCAAGCCUGAUCCAGCAAUGCCGCGUGUGUGAAGAAGGCCUUCGGGUUGUAAAGCACUUUUGUCCGGAAAGAAAUCCGUCUGGCUAAUACCCGGACGGGAUGACGGUACCGGAAGAAUAAGCACCGGCUAACUACGUGCCAGCAGCCGCGGUAAUACGUAGGGUGCGAGCGUUAAUCGGAAUUACUGGGCGUAAAGCGUGCGCAGGCGGCUUUGUAAGACAGAUGUGAAAUCCCCGGGCUCAACCUGGGAACUGCAUUUGUGACUGCAAGGCUAGAGUGCGUCAGAGGGAGGUGGAAUUCCGCGUGUAGCAGUGAAAUGCGUAGAGAUGCGGAGGAACACCGAUGGCGAAGGCAGCCUCCUGGGAUGACACUGACGCUCAUGCACGAAAGCGUGGGGAGCA
rnacentral:rRNA from 1 species